rnacentral:rRNA from 1 species
UACGUAGGGGGCAAGCGUUGUCCGGAUUUAUUGGGCGUAAAGAGCGUGUAGGCGGUCAGGUAGGUCCGUUGUGAAAACUCGAGGCUCAACCCCGAGACGCCGAUGGAAACCAUCUGACUAGAGUCCGGAAGAGGAGAGUGGAAUUCCUGGUGUAGCGGUGAAAUGCGCAGAUAUCAGGAAGAACACCCGUGGCUAAGGCGGCUCUCUAGUACGGUACUGACGCUGAGACGCGAAAGCGUGGGGAGCGAACAGG